AAGAAGUGAAGGUGACGACAGGUAGUUUCCCUUCGCUGUCGAAGCAAUUAUACAUUUACUUCAAGAAUGAAAGAUUAAAGAAGGAUCAGAAGCAACAUAAAUCCAAAGCUCCAAAGCCUAUCCAUCGUUCUCUUUCUCGGGCUAAUAGACUUUAAUUAUAAACAAACCAUGAUAGCGCAAGAUAAUCAACAGCAGCCAUUGUUACGCAACCCAGAAGAUGAUGAACAAGAAGAGAAAGAAGAAACCGCCUAUGAUUCCGAUGAGAAAGUUCACAUAAUCGGAGUCGAUUCCGACGCCUAUGCCGACAAGGCUCCGCCAUUUUCAUGGAGAAAGCUUUGGCUCUUCACUGGUCCUGGAUUCCUAAUGUCCAUCGCCUUCCUCGAUCCCGGAAAUUUGGAGGGGGACCUUCAGGCUGGAGCGAUUGCUGGGUAUUCGUUACUUUGGCUUCUCUUGUGGGCAACUGCUAUGGGGCUUCUUGUUCAGCUCCUGGCGGCUCGACUUGGCGUGGCUACUGGAAGACAUUUGGCUGAGCUGUGUAGAGAGGAGUAUCCUGCUUGGGCUAGAAUAGUGCUGUGGAUUAUGGCUGAGUUGGCUUUAAUAGGGGCUGACAUACAGGAGGUUAUUGGAAGUGCUAUUGCUCUUAAAAUUUUGACUAAUGGAGUUUUGCCUUUGUGGGCUGGUGUGAUUAUUACAGCUUGUGAUUGUUUCAUUUUCCUAUUUCUUGAGAACUAUGGUGUGAGGAAAUUGGAAGCAGUGUUUGCUGUUCUAAUUGCAACGAUGGCGAUAUCAUUUGCUUGGAUGUUUGGUGAAACCAAACCCAGUGGGGUGGAGCUUCUUAUGGGUAUCUUAGUUCCAAAACUCAGCUCUAAAACAAUACAACAGGCUGUUGGGGUUGUAGGUUGCAUUAUCAUGCCUCACAAUGUAUUCUUGCAUUCUGCUCUUGUACAGUCAAGGGAUGUUGACCACACCAAGAAAGGCCGGGUUCAAGAAGCUCUCAGAUACUACUCCAUAGAAUCUACUGUUGCGCUUAUAAUAUCAUUCAUUAUCAAUUUAUUUGUGACAACAGUGUUUGCUAAAGGUUUUUAUGGUACAGAAAUGGCAAAUAGUAUUGGCCUUGUGAAUGCAGGGCAAUACCUCCAAGAGAAGUAUGGGGGUGGAAUUUUCCCAAUUUUAUACAUUUGGGGUAUCGGUUUAUUAGCAGCUGGUCAGAGUAGCACUAUCACUGGCACUUAUGCAGGGCAGUUUAUCAUGGGAGGUUUCCUGAACUUGAGAUUGAAAAAAUGGCUCAGGGCAUUGAUCACUCGAAGCUGUGCAAUCAUCCCUACUAUGAUUGUUGCACUUGCUUUUGAUUCCUCUGAGGAUACAUUGGAUGUUCUAAAUGAGUGGCUAAAUGUGCUUCAAUCAAUUCAGAUUCCUUUUGCACUUAUCCCUCUUCUUUGUUUGGUCUCUAAGGAGCAAAUCAUGGGCAGUUUCAGAAUUGGUCCUAUUCUUAAGAUGGUAUCAUGGCUUGUUGCUGCCCUGGUGAUAAUAAUCAACGGUUACCUUUUAGUUGACUUUUUCUUCAGCGAAGUGAAUGGAGUAAUUUUUACCACGGUGGUAUGCAUCUUCACCGCUGCAUAUGUACUGUUCAUAAUUUACCUUGUUUCCAUGGGGAUUACCUUUGUUUCAUGGUGUUCUACAUCUAAAAAUGUAGAAGUAAUUGAGUAACCGAACUACUUUUGCAACUUGUUUGAAACGUAUAGUGUCUAUUGAAAGCAAGACAGCAUUACAUUCAAUGAACGUCCAAUUAUAGUUGCAGAAAAACCUGAGCUUUUCAAGCAUAGAGUUUAAUCUUCAAGCAUACUGAUAUUGGCUGUGUACAAAGUUCACUUUCUAUAUUUCUGAAUUUUAUGGACAAUGUUUCUGAAUCAUAGAACUUACGUACUUACUCGUCUACAGUAUCAAUGGCUGGAAGAAAGCAUAGCCUGAAAAUUGAUUUUGCUUUUGAAAUUUAGUGGAGUGAUGUUGUAGUUGCUAUACUCAAAUUUAUUUUGUUAGGCAAGGAGCCAGCUUUGAACAAUGUACUGAAAUUAGAUUACUUAUCCAUUUGUCUUUGUUCAUUUAUCCUCUUAACUAAACCUUGACUAGAUUUCUUUAGACAUUCUGGAUGAAUGCUGAUCCAAGAAAAUAGCAGUGCAUUUGCAGCUUUGAAUGCAACCUCUGCAUUCAAACAAGUAUUUCUUUCACUAGUUUUUAGUCCUUAACUUGUAGAUCAUGUAAAUAGUUACUUAUUUCUCUGUUAUUGUUAAAUCAGAUGGACUAUUAAAUUU